GGGGGUCUCAGAAAAAAAAUUAUACCAUUAUAAAUAACUGCUACGGUACAGUAGGUGUGCGAGGAAAGACUGCAGCAGCAUGUGGAGAGAUCUUUAUAGGACAGACUGGGCGGGGCUAAAUGAGAGUGUUGCAGCAGACUGGGCGGGGUUAAAUGAGAGUGUUGCAGCAGACUGGGCGGAGCUAAAUGAGAGUGUUGCAGCAGACUGGGCGUGGCUAAGUGAGAGUGUUGCAGCAUGCUGGGCGUGGCUAAGUAAGAGUGUUGCAGCAGACUGGGCGGGUCUAAAGGAGAGUGUUGCAGCAGACUGGGCGUGGCUAAGUAAGAGUGUUGCAGCAGACUGGGCGGAACUAAGUGAGAGUGUUGCAGCAGACUGGAUUUGGCUAAGUGAGAGUGUUGCAGCAGACUGGGCGUGGCUAAGUGAGAGUGUUGCAGCAGACUGGGAGGAGCUAAGUGAGAUUGUUGCAGCAGACUGGGUGGGGAUAAAUGAGAGUGUUGCAACAGACUGGGCGUGGCUAAG